AUUAAUCAUUCAUUUUCAAAAUGGCGAACGUUUAGGUUGUGUGUUACUGUUAUCUUUUUUGUUUUUUUUAUAAAUUUUACACGCUGUUGACUUGACUUUGAGCUUUAAUGGGUCGGUCGCCGAGUCCGCGGCGGCGUGAAGACCGACGUGACCGCAGGGAAAGGGACAGGGACCGCGACCGGGACCGCGAGAGGCGAAGGCCUAGGACCCGGUCACGAUCCCGCUCUCUAGACCGUCGGAGGCGCUCCCCCGAACGCCGACGCUCACCCUCCCCACGAAGAAGAAGAUCGCGAUCAAUAUCGCCGACACCGACCACGUCAUUCGUGCCCAAACCGAAAAAGAACUUCGGCGAACGGCCCAUAGUCACGCCCGCAGAUUUGGAGGGAAAAACGCCCGAGGAGCAAGAAAUGUUGAAGGUUAUGGGUUUCUGCGGCUUCGAUACCACAAAAGGUAAGAAAGUCGAAGGUAAUGUUGAAGGAGAUGUUCACUUAGUACUGAAACGGAAAUAUAGACAAUACAUGAACAGGAAGGGUGGUUUCAACCGACCGUUGGACUUUGUCGCUUAACUGUAACCCACAACCUAAUAUACUUGUUUGUUUGGCCCCAGGGUCGCUUGAUGUGAUAUUAAUUCUUUUAAAGCUUGCUUGUAUCAACUGAUUAACUUAUUUAUACAUAUCAAAUAUUCAUGAAAGUGCUCAAAUUAAAGCAAGGAUUGCACUAAAGGUUGACCUUGACCUUGUAAGAUGUUACAAGAAGGGUUAAAAACGUUUAAAUAUGAACAACAGAAAGUUGAAUCAGUUGUAUGAACAAGCUUUAAGAACGAUUCUAUUAGAUAUAAGUGUUACAAUGUUUUCCAUUUUGUAUUGAAACUGGUUUUUGAGUUUUGGCUGUGAUAUACGAACAGACAGUAAUUUUAUACAUAUUAUAUACAACAGUGUUUACUGAGAUGGUAUGUUUUAUAAACCUUGAAGUAAAAUUCUAGACAUUUUUUACUUCAAAUGCAUUACAAGACCAUAUUUCAUAUCAACAAUUACAGUUUUACCAUAAAUUUGACAAUAGCUCUAAUAUUAGUCAAUUAUAUAUAUUUUAAUACCGUAUAAAUAUUUAACACUUGUACUCUCAUGACACCAACAUUCUUAGCAGAGCAUUUACCCUAAACAUAAAAUCAUAGACUCACUCUGACAUUGGCAAAUCCUCACGGAAGCCAUUAUACAAGAAUAAGAAGAAUUAUGUAUUAAUAAAACGAAGUUUAUCUAAUUGCAUAAAAAGUGCAAUACAGUAAAAAUGAGUCAACAAAAUACCUUUGAAAAACUAUAAUUAUUGAAAGUUAUAAUUGGAAAUAUUGUUACUAAUUUUUGUGUCGGAACACAAGACUUACAUCUUACAUAAUAUAAAGAGAAAAGAUUACAAAUAUGUUCUGCAUACCAAUUCUACGUAAUGAACGAAAUGCACCGCUAACUUUUAUAAACAAAAACAAUUAAAAAUAAAACUAUCGCAACCAAAACUCAAGAAAAAUAUUGCCACAAAACUAUGAAAUUAAAUUACACCUUUUUAAAUACAUUGACGGACUGGAACAACUCGGAAAACCCAAAAGGUUAAUGUUAAACAUGAACUAAAAAAUUGCAACCUUAUGCAUAAAUAUAUUUCACAACAAAUUUAGCGGUCAAUAAAACUUAAUAUAACUAAAUUUAUAGUGUAAAUAGGGAUAUAGCCAGUACAAGUCCAGUCUUGUUGAUAUUGACUAAUAUAGCCAAAAUAGUAUUUGCUAUGUUCAAAAAACAAUUUGCUAAUAAAAUUGACCAGUAACAUUAUGGGACUAGUAAAAUUAAAAAUUUGAUGCAAAGUAUUGUUUGAUAAAUAUACAUAAAAGACUUGGUGCUUGUCAGCUUGAGACACUAUAUUUGAGAAUUGAGACAUAUGAAGACAUGUCCAGUGCAAAUUAUCCAUCUAUAACAACAUUUAAUAACUUUUUGGUAUGCUGAAAGCAUAAAUACAUAAUUUUUAAUACACUUAAACAGUUCCAGUGCAAAUUAGCCGAAUAUACUUAUUCAAUGACAAGGUUUUGUGGCAAAUGUAGUUGUAAGUUAGUCGUAAGCCCGUUACCUCAGUGCCCGCGCGCAGCUAAGGCCCGCGCGGGCUCCGGCUAUAGCGCUCUGCGCACCAAGAAGCCCUAUGGAGUCGGUUCGGAAGUGAUAUUAUGGUGUGUGAAGUUUCUAUAAUGGGGAAAUGGCUAUCUAUGACUGGCUAUGACUAGUAUAUUCUAUUACCAUUUUACAUUUAUUAUAAUAAUGAUGAUCGGUGAUACAAAACAUUUAGAUUCACACAUCACAGAAGCUAAUUUCUUUGUUAGAUGUUCAGAAUAUCAAAAGAAGUUAGUCUUUGCUUGGUAAAAGAAGAUAUCAAAAAUACAUGCUUAAUUUACUUUUUAACACAAUAAAAUUGUACAUAAAACUGAAAAGAUAACAAAAUUACAUAAUUUUCAAAUAAUUUUCAUUUUCAAAACAGAAAAGUAUCUCUAUAAUAUAUAUGUAUACAAUAUUUAUCUCAGAUUUCUACCAAAUAGCCAACCUAUCACAAGCAGAAACCGUUGAAUAGAAAACCCCCACAGAAUUAUGGUAUAACUUCACAUAACCGUCCCAUAAGACUGAUUUGUCGUGGCCGUGUUGAACGUUGCCCGCGCGACGCGACUCACCAUAGAUAUAUUUAUACACUUUACACACAAUCCCCCCAGAUGAUCCCCCUCUCCUCCACAAUGUACAAUAGUUAAAGAUUUACGGAUCAGAGUGUGGUUUUAACAAUGUUUUUGUCGAUAUAGGUAAUUAAGAUGAGUUGAACUUGUAAAAUAUAUUUUUUAUAUUAAAAAAUUUAUUAAUUUCAAUGUUAUUCAGUAUUAUUUUAAAAUAUUAAUUUUUUAGAUAAAUAUGAUUCAACUUUGUGCAUAUAAAGGUUUAAAUUGUUGAUUGAUUCAGGCUGUCCCACUGCUGGGCAUAGGCCUCUUUCUCCGUGUAUCAGAAGGAUCAGAACAAAAAAAAAAGAUUAAAACUAAAUUCAUAUUCUUAUAUUUUUGUAUACACAAAUUCUCCAUCUUAACAUACUUAGAGGCAAAUCAAUGUUGAUAAAACCGCUCUCUGUACCGUGGAUCUCCAUAGACCAUAUACAAUUAUACAAAUGUUGCAUAUAUAUGAAAUAUUUAGUGUAAGCGCACACGCGCCGCGCGGGGGUCCGACAGCAAUAGAAGUCAGAUCCGAACCGACUUCAUCUGGUUUGUCACUCCACCGCACCCCUCGAAUGAAUCUCAUUGAAAUUUACACAUUCCGAAGCUAAAUACACAUUAAAACUAAGCUGUGUACUGUAAUUUUGAUGAAAAUCGAACGUAUGUCAGUAAAUUAUAACUGCAAAAACCAAAAACAGGUUAAUUUGUGUCAUGAUAUGAAUUGAUUUUUUCAGAACUGUAAUCAUAAAAUUGCUAUUUCUUUUGGAAAGAUGUUUACCAACUUGUAAUAAAAGCAGUUUUAUGAUGUUUAAUUUUCAAUGUUUGAAUAACUAAUGUUAACUGAUUUGUCUAAUAAAACAUUGUCUUAACUCGGCGUUCGUCGCAUCCCUGUAAGCAACACUUUUGCUCGCUACGGGUGAAAAAUACCCAAAUUUUAUAUCGUGUACCCAUUUAUUCUUAUGUAUUAUUAUUAUUAUUAUUUUGUUUAUACGUAAAGGAAGUUUAGUAAAAUGUUAAAUAAAAGUAAGUAAUCAUCGUUAACAGUAUUUAUUAAACAAAUAGAUAAACGCUACAAUUAUAUAGCAAACAGCAACUGUUUUUUGUAAACUACUACUGCAAACAAAAAAAAAAUAUUACUUUUCAUUUUUUUAUCAAUCAUAUGGCUUUAAUUUUUACAAAAACAGUCUUAGUUUUAAUUUAGGAAAAGAAAUUAUACACAUUUAUGAUAUCUUACCUCUCUAAAUCAAUAUAAAAAUAACGAAAUAAAAUUACUAAAAAACAACAAUCAGUCUUAUGUCUUUAGGAACAUGAGUUUUUUUAUAAUAUAAUUAUUCAAUUUUUAGUACGCAUUCAGAACAUACAGG
rnacentral:misc_RNA from 1 species